GGUUGUGGCUCAGUGGUAGAGUGCUUGCCUAGCAUGCAUGAGGUACUGGGUUCGAUCCUCAGCACCA
rnacentral:tRNA from 1 species